ACACUGAGCAUACCUGUUACAGAUAUGCUGAUGCCAUAAGCAUAUACAAGAUGAUGUCACUACUGACUGGAACAAAAGCCAACACCCCAAAUGUGUAAACGGUGCAUGCAGUUUGUCCAAACAUGGGCAACUAGAGGUGUGUUUUUGGUAGAUUCAAAUACUACUAACUAUCAGUUUAAGAUCAGUUCAGGUAAGUUUAAUUAGAAAAAGAAUAUAACAUUUUAUGUUUCCUAAGUAAUGAUCAGCACAUACUCCUGAAAUAUUAUAGGAAGUAAUGGUUUCAGAAUAUACUUUCCCUUAUACGACACAUGAAUACAGCCUUAAGCACAAUGGAUUUGACACUCCUUACAGAGUAAUCAAUACAUUUGAAAGAUGUAUUUGAGCAGAAGAAUUACACCUCUGCACAAACUUGAGCUUGUGCAGAAUUAUCCUUUAAUCUUCAAGCUGCAUUGACUGCCGGAGCUGCUGAGAAAUGUGAGGCGACUCUAGGGCUGCAAACAAUUUGGCAAUGAACUUGUGGGCAGCACAAAGCAAGAUGAAUGACAGAGCUACAGAACAGAGCUGAGGGUUUUCAUAUUAUUUGCCACUUACUGCUAAAGAGAUUUGAUCAAUCAAUUCUGCAAAAGACUUUGAAAUAGAUCAAGGAAAUUGCAGACUUGGGACAAGACUGUAAAGCUGUACCGCUCUCUGUUCCAGACGGAAGCAAACAGCAUUCCACAUGGAGGUUACGUGUAAAUUAAAGAAGGAAGAAGCAAGCAGAUUCCCAGUACUUUUAGCAAAUAAAGAAUGCUGGUAGGGACUCCAUAUAAUACAGGAGUGAGGCUAGAUUUGAAUGUGUACAAUUUGAAGAUGAUGUUCUUAAGACCCAGUUUCUUUUGACCAUCUUUACAUUUAAUAUUGAUGAAUCUUGUUGAUGUUUUGUAAGGCAUUGUUCCCCAACCAGACUAGGGAUGAAGAAUUCAGUCUGGGAAACUACUUCUUGGGGCAACUGAUGCAACCAAUGCCACAGUCAGUAAGCUUUUAUUUUAAUAAAUAUAUUUCUUA